AGCGAACGCUGGCGGCAGGCCUAACACAUGCAAGUCGAACGGAUCCUUCGGGAUUAGUGGCGGUCGGGUGAGUAACACGUGGGAACGUGCCCUUUGGUUCGGAACAACUCAGGGAAACUUGAGCUAAUACCGGAUGUGCCCUUCGGGGGAAAGAUUUAUCGCCAUUGGAGCGGCCCGCGUCUGAUUAGCUAGUUGGUGGGGUAAAGGCCCACCAAGGCGACGAUCAGUAGCUGGUCUGAGAGGAUGAUCAGCCACAUUGGGACUGAGACACGGCCCAAACUCCUACGGGAGGCAGCAGUGGGGAGUCUUGCGCAAUGGGCGAAAGCCUGACGCAGCCAUGCCGCGUGAAUGAUGAAGGUCUUAGGAUUGUAAAAUUCUUUCACCGGGGACGAUAAUGACGGUACCCGGAGAAGAAGCCCCGGCUAACUUCGUGCCAGCCGCCGCGGUAA
rnacentral:rRNA from 1 species